GGAUCAAUGAUGAGACCUCAUACUGUCUCAAAGAGAGGUGAUGACUUAAAUAUCAUGCUCAAUAGGGUUACACAGAAGC